AUUUAUUUAUGUAUUUAUUAUUCAAUAGCAUAUGUUUACUCCUUUUUUUGUUUUUUAAAUACAUAUAUUUUUUAUUUCAGAGAGGAAGGAAGAGGGAGAAAGAGAAAUAUCAAUGAUGAGAGAAUCAUUGAUUGGCUGCCUCCUGCACACCCCACACUGGAAUCGAACUUAGGACGCUCUAUCCACUGAGCCAAACUGGUUAGGUAGGGCUACUUUGUUUUAAUAAGAAAUCAGAUAUAUACGCUGUAACUAGAGUUGUGAUAAUUUCCACCAGGUUUUAUUCAUGGAGUUGAUGUACCUUAUCACUCUUGUUACUGUCAAUGGCUUCUUUUUGUUUUUUUAUUUUUGCUGUUUUUUAAAAAAUCUUUAUUGUUGAAAGUAUUACAUAAGUUCCCUUUAUUCUCCCAUUAACCCCUUAUAGCCUGAUCCUGCCCCCUGCCCCAGGUCUCUACCCCCCUAUUGUCUGUGUCCAUGGGUUGUACAUAUAUGCUUACAAGCUCUUUAAUUGAUCUCUUGCCACCCACUCAUCCACCCCCGCCUCCCCUCUGGAAUUCGACAGUCUGUUCCAUGCUUCUGUGUCUCUGGAUCUAUUUUGUUCAACAGUUUAUUUUGUUCAUUGGAUACCACAUAUGAGUGAAAUCAUGUGAUACUUGUCUUUCUCUGACUGGCUUAUUUCGCUUAGAUUAAUACUCUGUAAGCCCCUCCAUGCUGUCUCAAAGGGUAAGAGAUCUUUUUACUGCUGCAUAGUAUUCCAUGGUGUAAGUGUAUUUUUUUAAAAAAUAUAUAUAUUUAUUGAUUUCAGAGAGGAAGGGAGAGGGAGAGAGCUAUAGAAACAUCAAUGUUGAGAGAAGAGAGAAUCAUCGACUGGCUGCCUCCUUGCACGUUGCCCACUGGGGAUUGAGCCCACAACCCAGGCAUGUGCUCUUGACCAGAAUCAAACCCAGGACCUUUCAGUUCGCAGGCUGACACUCUAUCCACUGAGCCAAACCAGCUAGGGCUACCACAGCUUUUUUAUCUACUUGUCUACUGAUAGGCACUUGGACUGUUUCCAGAUCUUAGCUAUUGUAAAUUGUGCUGCUAUGAACAUAGGAGUGCAUACAUUCUUCCUGAUCAGAGUUUCGGGUUUCUUAGGGAUAUGUUCCUAGAAGUGGGAUCAUUGGGUCAAAUGGCAGUUCCAUAUUAAAUUUUUUGAGGAAAUUUUAUACUGUUUUCCAUAAUGGCUGCAGCAUUCUGCAUUCCCACCAGCAGUGUACUAGGGUUCCCUUUUCUCCACAUCCUCACCAGCACUUGUCAUUUGUUGAAUUGGUGAUGUUAGCCACUCUGACAGGUGUGAGGUGAUACCUCAUUGUCGUUUUAAUUUGCAUUUCUCUGAUGAUCAGUGACUUUGAGCAUUUUUUUAUAUGUCUCUUGGCCAUCUACAUGUCCACUUUGGAGAAGUGCCUAUUUAGGUCCUUUGCCUGUUUUUUAAUUAGAUGGUUUGUCUUCCUUUUUUUAAGUUGUAUGAGUUCCUUAUAUAUUUUGUUUAUUAACCCAAAUAUGUUCUCCCUACAGUGGCUCCCUUUUCAUUUGUUGAUGGCUUCUUUUGCUGUGCAGAUGCUUUUUAUUUUGAUGAAGUUCCAUUUGUUUAUUUUCUCCUUAGUUACCUUUGCCCUAGGAGAUGUAUCUGCAAACAUAUUACUAUGAGAGAUUUCUGAGAUUAUGUUGCCUAUGGUUUCUUCUAUGGUCUCACAUCUUACAUUUAAGUCUUUUAUCCAUUUUGAGUUUAUUCUUGUGUAUAAGUUGGUAGUCUAGCUUCAUUUUUUUGCAUGUAUCUGUCCAAUUUUCCCAACACCAUUUAUUGAAGAGACUGUCUUGGCUCCAUUGUAUGCUCUUGCCUCCUUUGUCAAAUAUUAAUUGAACGUAAUGGCUUGGGUUGAUUUUUGGGGUCUCUAUUCUGUUCCAUUGAUCUAUAUGCCUGUUCUUGUGCCAGUACCAGGCUGUUUUGAUUACAGUGGCUUUGAAAUAUAACUUGAUAUCUGGUAUUGUGAUUCCUCCUACUUUGUUGUUCUUUCUUAAGAUUGCUGCGGCUAUUCAAGGUCUUUUUGGUUCCAUAUAAAUUUUUGGAGUAUUUGUUCUAGGUCUGUGAAAUAUGCUGUUGGUAUUUUAAUAGGGAUUGCAUUGAAUCUGUAGAUUGCCUUGGGUAGUAUGGAUAUUUUAAUUAUGUUAAUUCUACCAAUCCAUGAACAUGGUAUAUUCUUCCACUUGUUUAUAUCUUCCUCUAUCUCUUUUUUUUCAAUAUCCUAUAGUUUUCCGAGUACAAGUCUUUUACCUCCUUGGUUAAGUUUAUUCCUAAUUAUCUCACUUUUUUGUUGUUGUUGUUGCAAUGGUAAAUGGGAUUGUUUAUUUUUUCUUUCUGAGAAUUCAUUAUUGGUGUCCAUUGAUUUUUGGGUGUUGAUUUUGUAUCCUGCUACCUUGCCAAAUUCAUUUAUUAAAUCUAGUAGUUUUUUAAUGGAAUCUUUAGGGUUUUCUAUGUACAAUAUCAUGUCAUCUGUGAAUAAUGAGAGUUUUACUUCCUCCUUUCUAAUUUGGAUGCCUUUUAUUUCUUCUUCUUGUCUGAUCGCUGUGACUAGGCCUUCCAGUACUAUGUUGAACAAGAAUGGUGAAAGCAGACACCCCUGUCUUGAUCCAGUUCUUAGGGGAAAUGGUUUUAGUUUUUGCCCAUUGAGUAUGAUGUUCGCUGUAGGUUUGUCAUAUAUGGUCUUUAUUAUUAUGUUGAGAUAUGAUCCCUCUAUUCCCACUUUGAUGAGUGUUUUAUAAAAAAUGGUUGUUGGGUUUUGUCUAAGGCAUUUUCUGUUUCUAUUGAUAUGAUGAUGUGAUUUUUGUUUUUCAAUUUGUUUAUGUGAUGUAUCACGUUUAUUGAUUUGCAAAUAUUGUACCAGUGUUGCAUCCCCGGAAUAAAUCCCACUUGGUCAUGGUGUAUGAUCUUUUUAAUAUAUUGCUGGAUCCAAUUUGCUAAUUUGUUGAGGAUUUGAGCAUCUAUGUUUAUCAGGGACAUUGGUCUGUAAUUCUCUUUCUUUGUAGUGUCUUUAUCUGAUUUUGGAAUUAGGGUAAUGCUGGCCUCAUAAAAAGAGCUUGGAAGUGUUCCUUCCUCUUAGAUUUUUUUGGAAUAGUUUGAGGAGUAUAGGUGUUAGUUCUUUGAAUGUUUGGUAAAAACUCCCCUGUGAAACCAUCUGGACCAGGGCUUUAGUUGCUGGGAGUUUUUUUUGUUUUGUUUUGUGUUGUUUUUUUUUUUAAUUGAUUCAGAGAGGAAGGGCGAAGAAGAGAGAUAGAAACAUCAAUGAUGAGAGGGAAUUAUUGACCGGUUGCCUCCUGCACACCCCCUACUGGGGAUCAAGCCCGCAACCUGAGCAUGUGCUCUUGACCAGAAUUGAACCCGGGACCCUUCAGUCUGCAGGUCGAUGCUCUAUCCACUGAGCCAAACCAGCUAGAGCUGCUGCGAGUUUUUUGAUUACUGCUUCUAUUUCAUCAGUUGUUAUUGGCCUCUUCAGGUUUUCUUAUUCUUCCUGAUUCAUUUUUAGGAGAUUGUAUUUUUCUAGGAAUUUGCCCGUUUCAUCCACAUCAUCCAGCUUGUUGGCAAAUAGUUGUUCAUAGUAUUUUCUUAUAACUCUGUGUUUCUGUAGAGAGGAAGAGAGAGAAACAUCAAUGAUGAAGAGAAUCAUUGAUCAGCUGCCUCUUGCAUGCCCCACACUGGGGAUGGAGCCUGAAACUCGGGCAUCAAGCCAUGACCUCCUGAAUUCUGGAUUGAUGUUCAACCAUUGAGCCACGCUGCCCAUGUGUCUUAUUUAUUUUUCACUGCUAUAUGAUAUUCCACUUACAGCUAUAACUCGCAUCUUGGUAAUUCUGCCAUUGAUGGACCCUUAAGUUGUUUCUAAUUUUUUGUUUCAAAUGCUGCUGCUUUAUAUAUUUUUGUAUGCCUUCUAGUAUGCAUAAGCACACAUUUUUGUAGGGUCAUACUCAGAGGAGGAAUUAAUGGGUGUAGGGUUUGCAUGUGCUCAAUUUUACCAGAUGUUGUACAAAUUUGUAUGUAUGCCUCAAGUUCUUUUUUCUACUUCUUCACCGGCAUUUGAUGUUAUCAAAUCUUAAUUUUCUCCAGCACAGUGGGUGUGAGAUAACAUAGUGAUUUCAAUUUACAUUUAUGUUUUAUAAUAAGAUUGAACAUCAUUUCAUAUGUUUAGGAGCUAUUUAUGCUUCCUUUUCUGUGAAAUUCCUUUUUCUUGCCCACUUUUUUGUUGAGUUAUUAUUCACAGUUCUCUAUAUACUCUAAAUAUAAUUCAGAAUAUGAGUUGCAAAUAUAUUCUUCCAGUUUGUGGCAUGUUUUUCCAUUCUCAUAUCUUUUUAAACAGAGGCUUUCAUUUUAAUGUAGUUGAAUUUAUCAACCUUUUCCUUAUUUCAAGUUAAACAUAUUCUCCCAAUAUGUACAACAUGAGAUAGGGAUCCAGUUUUAUUGAUUUUUAAAAUUUUACAUUUAAAUAUGCAUUAACUGCUGGUUAUUGAAAAAUUACUUGCUUUCCCACUGAGCUGUGAUGCCAGCUGGGAGUCCCAGAUGAGUGCUUGUUUCUGAGUUCUUUCUUUCCCACCAACCGUCAGUGUCUCUAUCCCAAACCCAUUGUCUACAUUAUUACAGCUUUAUGAAAACUACUGAUAUUUGGGAGAGCAAGACCCUAUGACUUUAACAGUGCUUUGGCUAUUCUUAGCUCUUUGUACUUCCAUAAAAUUGUUACUUUCAGAUGGUCUAAUACAUUUUUUAAGUUAGAUUCACAAUUUACAAAAGGGCAUAUGGUAAAAUUUCCCCAUCCUGCCUUUCUUCUCUCAGUUCUCUCCUCAGAAGCAGUCAUACUUAACUAAUUUCUUGUGCAUUGUUCCAGAGAUAACCUGAAAUUGCAUAGUUUUGUGUGUAUAUUACCACACCCCUUUUUGUAGUUGCACAGUUCAUCAGCAGAGUUUAUGUAAAAUCUGUUUUCAAUGAAAUCUGUUUCUUUUUUUCUU